rnacentral:rRNA from 1 species
GUGUCAGCAGCCGCGGUAACACGUAAGUUGCGAGCGUUGUUCGGAAUUAUUGGGCGUAAAGGGCAUGUAGGCGGUUUUGCAAGCUUGAUGUGAAAGGCAGGAGCUUAACUCCUGGACUGCGUUGAGAACUGCAUGACUGGAGUCACUGAGGGGCAAUCAGAAUUCCUGGUGUAGGGGUGAAAUCUGUAGAUAUCAGGAAGAAUACCAAUGGCGAAGGCAGGUUACCAGCAGAUGACUGACGCUGAGGUGCGAAGGUGCGGGGAGCAAACAGGAUUAGAUACCCUGGUAGUCCGCACAGUCAACUAUGUACACUGGAUGUCUGGCCGAUAGGCUGGGUGUCGAAGCAAACGCGAUAAGUGUACCGCCUGGGGAGUAUGCCCGCAAGGGUGAA